rnacentral:tRNA from 3 species
CACUCUGUAGUUUAAGAAAAAUAGCAAAUUGCAAAUUUGAUGAUAGGUUUUCCUUAGAGUGU